GUAGUCAUAUGCUUGUCUCAAAGAUUAAGCCAUGCAUGUCUAAGUAUAAGCAAUCUAUACUGUGAAACUGCGAAUGGCUCAUUAAAUCAGUUAUCGUUUAUUUGAUAGUACCUUACUACAUGGAUACCUGUGGUAAUUCUAGAGCUAAUACAUGCUAAAAACCCCGACUUCGGGAGGGGUGUAUUUAUUAGAUAAAAAACCAAUGCCCCUCGGGGCUCCUUGGUGAUUCAUAAUAACUUAACGAAUCGCAUGGCCUUGCGCCGGCGAUGGUUCAUUCAAAUUUCUGCCCUAUCAACUUUCGAUGGUAGGAUAGUGGCCUACCAUGGUGGCAACGGGUAACGGGGAAU
rnacentral:rRNA from 1 species